ensembl:lncRNA
AAGUGCCUUUCCCCCUCAUGAAUUCCCCCACCCGCGGUCCGGCCCCUCCGAAAUUCCCGUUUUCCUCCCCCAAAAUCCGCGGGUUUCCCCCCAAAUCCUCACCAAAAUCUCCUUUUCCCUCAGGGAUUCUUCACCCGCUUCUCCAAAGUUCAGCUUUUUCUUUUUGCUCAAAACGUUUUUAUUACAAAAAGACUUCCCCAAAAAACAUCGUUUUUACAAAAAAAUUACAUUUCCCUCCCCCCCAAAAUCCGUUUUUUUUCUGGGAAUGAGAAACUGAAAUCCCCAAAUUCCGGCUGUGGGGACCCCAAAUUUCAGGAUUUUUGGGGUUUUUGGGAUCCCAAAUUCUGGGAUUUGGGGGUUUUGCGAUCCCAAAUUCCCUAACUUUGGUUUUUUUGGGGGUCCUAAACUCCAGAAUUUCAGGUUUUUGGAGUCCCAAGCUCUGGAAUUCCGGGUUUUUGGGAUCCCAAACUGCAAGAUUUUGGGGUUUUUGAGGUCCCAAAUUCCAGGAUUUUGGGGUUUUGGGGAUCCCAAACUCUGGAAUUCCAGGGUUUUUGGACCCCAAACUGCAAGAUUUUGUGGUUUUUUGGAUCCCAAUUAAUGGAAUUUGGGGUUUUUGGGGAUCCCAAACUGGAAUUCGGGGUUUUUGAGGUCCCAAAUUCCAGAAUUUUGGGAUCCCAAACCCCAGAAUUUCAGGGAUUUUGGGGUUUUUGGGGUCCCAAACCCCAGAAUUUCAGGGAUUUUGGGGUUUUUGGGAUCCCAAACUCCAGAAUUUCAGGGAUUUUGGGGUUUUUGGGAUCCCAAACUCCAGAAUUUCAGUGAUUUUGGGGAUUUUGGGGUCCCAAACUCUGGAUUUUGGGGUUUUUGGGGUCUCAAACCCCAGAAUUUCAGGGAUUUUGGGGAUUUUGGGGUCAGCCGUUGUGUUUCUGGCGUUUCCAGAAGCGUUUGACGUCGGGGUGACCGGCGGGUGUCACCACCAUCAGGCGCCGCGCGGGGUUCUCGAAGACGAGCACCCCCAGAGCGCGGGCGUGGUCCCGCAGCACCUCGAAAUCCACCUGGGACAGGAACUGGUUGUACAGCACACCUGGACGGGGGAGGGGACAGGGACACUGUCACCUCCUGUCACCUCCCCCUUGGGGACACUGCCACCUCCUCCCCUUGAGGUGUCACCUCCCACCUUGGGGAUGCUCCGAUGCCCUUUUUGGGACAUUUGGGGACAUUUGGGGACAUUUUGGGACACUUGGGGACAGUUCAGGGACAUUUGGGGACAUCCUGGGGACAUUUGGUGACACCUCAGGGACAUUUGGUGACAUUUAGGGGCACCUGGGGACAGUUUGAGGACACUUUGGUGACAUUUGGGGACACUUUGGUGACAUUUGGUGACAUUUUGGGACACUUGGGGGCAGUUCAGUGACAUUUGGUGACACUUUGGUGACAUCUGGUGACAUUUGGGGACAUUUGGGGACAGUUCAGUGACAUUUGGUGACACUUUGUGACAUUUGGGGGCAGUUCAGUGACACUUGGGGACAUUUGGGGACAGUUCAGUGACAUCUGGUGACAUUUGGGGACAGUUCAGUGACAUUUGGUGACAUUCUAGGGACAUUUGAUGACAUUUGGAGACAUUCUGGGGAUAUUUGGUGACAUUUGGGGACAGUUCACUGACAUCUGGUGACAUUUGGGGACACUUGGGGAUAGUUCAGUGACAUUUGAUGGCAUUUGGUGACAUUUGGGGGCAGUUCAGUGACAUUUGGUGACAUUUGGGGGCAGUUCAGUGACACUUUGUGACAUUUGGGGACAGUUCAGUGACAUUUGGUGACACUUUGUGACAUUUGGGGACAGUUCAGUGACACUUGGGGACAUUUGGGGACAGUUCAGUGAUACUUGGUGACAUUUGGUGACACUUGGGGACACUUGGGGACACUUGGGGACAGUCUCUCACCGUCGGAGAAGCGCAGCCGGUCCCGCUCGAGCUCCCAGAGCCGGAUCUGGUCCGUGAUGGUCGGGGGCAGCACCGGGCUCUGGGACAGGGAGGGGACAGUGGGGACAUCGGGGACAUC